rnacentral:hammerhead_ribozyme from 1 species
AUAGCUGACGAGUCCCAAAUAGGACAAAACGCACGUACUGUAU